rnacentral:lncRNA from 13 species
AUUUGUUGAAACUUGCUUCACAGCCAAACAUGUGAUUAAUGUACGCUUGAGAAGUACCUGUUUUCUGAGAUUACUGGGUGUGCGGUUCUAUAUAUGGUCCUUAGGUAUGUGUCAACAGCGGAUAACCUGCGGGAUGGUUUUCUUUAU